UAGGGUUCGGGUUAGGGCUAGCCCUCGCCCUAACCUAAUAGACUCCCAGGCAGGUGUUUCCAUGGACGGUAAACACAUCCCAGAGCAGCUGCCAAGGGUAUUUGGAAAUGGAAUGUCAGUGGUGUUGUAGAAUUGUGUGUCUCUGCGUGUGUGUGUGCAGCCUGCUUGCGCGUGUGUGUGUGUGUGUGUGUGUGUGUGUGUGUGUGUGUGUGUGUGUGUGUGUGUUCGGGUAAUGUCAUGUGACUGUUAGUAACUGGCUUGUUUCGGUGUCAAAGGUCAAGUUGGGAACAGCACUGUAAACGUAGUGUUAUUCAGUGUUGAUAUUCAAUGUUGUUCAUCAACCCACUUUCUA